rnacentral:rRNA from 1 species
AGUGAACGCUGGCGGUAGGCCUAACACAUGCAAGUCGAACGGCAGCACAGUAAGAGCUUGCUCUUACGGGUGGCGAGUGGCGGACGGGUGAGGAAUACAUCGGAAUCUACUUUUUCGUGGGGGAUAACGUAGGGAAACUUACGCUAAUACCGCAUACGACCUACGGGUGAAAGCAGGGGAUCUUCGGACCUUGCGCGAUUGAAUGAGCCGAUGUCGGAUUAGCUAGUUGGCGGGGUAAAGGCCCACCAAGGCGACGAUCCGUAGCUGGUCUGAGAGGAUGGAUAGCCACAAUGGAAAUGGAGAAAGGUCCCAGCUCCUAAGGGAAGGAGCAGUGGGGAAAAAUGGGAAAAGGGGGGAAACCUUGUCCAGGCAUACCGCGUGGGUGAAGAAGGCCUUCGGGUUGUAAAGCCCUUUUGUUGGGAAAGAAAAGCAGCAGGUUAAUACCCCGCUGUUCUGACGGUACCCAAAGAAUAAGCACCGGCUAACUUCGUG